rnacentral:rRNA from 1 species
GACGAACGCUGGCGGCGUGCCUAAUACAUGCAAGUAGAACGCACAGUUUAUACCGUAGCUUGCUACACCAUAGACUGUGAGUUGCGAACGGGUGAGUAACGCGUAGGUAACCUGCCUGGUAGCGGGGGAUAACUAUUGGAAACGAUAGCUAAUACCGCAUAAUAUUAAUUAUUGCAUGAUAACUAAUUGAAAGGUGCAAUUGCACCACUACCAGAUGGACCUGCGUUGUAUUAGCUAGUAGGUGAGGUAACGGCUCACCUAGGCGACGAUACAUAGCCGACCUGAGAGGGUGAUCGGCCACACUGGGACUGAGACACGGCCCAGACUCCUACGGGAGGCAGCAGUAGGGAAUCUUCGGCAAUGGACGAAAGUCUGACCGAGCAACGCCGCGUGAGUGAAGAAGGUUUUCGGAUCGUAAAGCUCUGUCGUAAGAGAAGAACGGGUGUGAGAGUGGAAAGUUCACACUGUGACGGUAUCUUACCAGAAAGGGACGGCUAACUACGUG